CUUUCUCUCGCCCUUCCUUAGGCACCGCCUACACGGGUGACGGGAUCGGAUCGUUUCUCGGGAUCAGCUCUUCGUAUUGACGCUGCCGUCGCGCUUACCUGUCCCUGCAGCGCCACCUCUGUGCCGUCAGGAAUACAGCCGAUUCUUGUAGCACCGCGGAAGAAGGCAUAGAAAAUGGACAAUGUGUGAUCAAAUACAAUACAGAGCAAGAAAGGGAACUAAAUUUUUGGAGUGGCUCUUCUAAGAACCAGGUUUGGAGGCUGAGAAAUCCCAGAUCAAGAUGCUGGCAGUGGCAGUGUUAGUAUCUAGUGAAGAUCCACUUCCUGGUGUCACCUUUUUGCUGUGUCCUCACAUGGUGGGAGAGGUUGAUGUUCACUGUUGGCUGAGAUCUUGUCUGGAAACUCGGCUGGAACAUCUAGAACUGUCUUCUUUGUACUUGGACUUUCCCAUGGUGUGGUUGCUGGGUUCCAAAAGCAAGCAUUUCAACAGAACCAGGCAGAAGCUGUGAACUUCCUGUGAACUAGUUUUGGAAGUACAUAGUGUCACUUCCACCGUUAGUCAUAAACCCUCCCACAUUUAAGAAGGGAACCUAGAUUUCCGUAUCUUUUUAAAAAAAAUAUUUUAUUUUUAACUGAUCUCUCCACCCAACGUGGGGCUGGAACUCACAACCCUGAGAUCAAGAGUCACAUGCUCCUCCAAUUGAGCCAGCCAGGCACACCUAGAUUUCCAUAUCUUGAUGUAAGGAGAGUUAACAUCACACUGAGGGCAUGUAGGAUGUGAGUUAUUGUUGUGGCUAGUUUUGAAAAAUGAGACCUGCAACAAGGUCCUUGAAGUAAAACUAUUUAUUUGUGAUGUGUGUUUGCUUUUAUAGCUCUUGUGAAUAAAUACACUUAUUUAUUGUGAAUAAA